AAAGCUGGCCACCCGGGCCAGCAGCAGCAACCUGCUCAGGUCCCCUUCCAUGGUGUGGAAGCUUUGUUCUUUCGCUGUUCACAAUGAAUCUUGCUGCUGCUCACUCUUUGGGUCCGCACUAGCUUUAUGAGCUGUAACGCUCACUGCGAAGGUCUGUGGCUUCACUCCUGAAGUCAGCAAGACCACGAACCCACCGGAAGGAGGAAACAACUCCGGAAGCACCACGUUUAAGAGCUGUAACACUCACUGCGAAAGUCUGCAGCUUCACUCCUGAAGUCAGCAAGACCACAAACCCACCGGAAGGAAGAAAUUCCAGACACAUCUAAACAUUGGAAGGAACAAACUCCAGACACACUAUCUUUAAGAACUGUAACACUCACCGCGAGGGUCUGUGGCUUCAUGCUUGAAGUCAGCCGGACCAAGAACCCACCGGAAAGAACCAAUUCCUGACACAAUCAGACAGAGAAUGCUGAUUCACUAUGCAGUGAAACAUGCCUAACGUGUCAACAGCUAAAUGCCCGGUGACAGUGUGGUUGUCUGGGCAACAGAAGAAGUCACCCACGCAAACACUUAAAGGACCAUACUUAUUUUACAAGAGGAACAGUUUUCAAUGGAAUGGAUAUUAAAACACACACCUGGAUCCCUUUACCACAGGUGCUUUGAGAGGCACCAUCAAGGACAGUGAGCUAACGCAGGAGAAUGGAGUCCCAGAAACCUAGGAGGAGAAGACAAAGUGUCAGCCUCUCGGCAUCUGCAGUGUUGCUAGGAAAAGAGCUCUGAUCCCAGGGGCUUACCCACUUCCACAGGAUCAUCCUCUGCAUAUGAAGGAACAGACAAGCCCUCAGCUCUACCACUUUGGAGAGGGGGGGAUUGGACAGCAUGAGCCUUCAAUUGUAUCUCUUGGAUGACCAAGGAAGGCUGGAUUUCUGCACCUAAAAAAUGGAAGCACAAACUGUACAACAAAUACUCUCCAUUCAAGUUGAAGUUCUCAAAUAAGGUUCUUUUCAAGGUGUUGGUGACACAGAUAUGAGGAAAACAGAGUUGACUCAUGGUGAUGGAGCUUACAUUCUAUGGGGCAAGAGUGAGCAGAGG
rnacentral:lncRNA from 1 species